rnacentral:rRNA from 1 species
GGGUUGUGAGGUUAAGCGACUAAGCGUACACGGUGGAUGCCCUGGCAGUCAGAGGCGAUGAAGGACGUGCUAAUCUGCGAUAAGCGUCGGUAAGGUGAUAUGAACCGUUAUAACCGGCGAUUUCCGAAUGGGGAAACCCAGUGUGAUUCGUCACACUAUCAUUAACUGAAUCCAUAGGUUAAUGAGGCGAACCGGGGGAACUGAAACAUCUAAGUACCCCGAGGAAAAGAAAUCAACCGAGAUUCCCCCAGUAGCGGCGAGCGAACGGGGAGCAGCCCAGAGCCUGAAUCAGUGUGUGUGUUAGUGGAAGCGUCUGGAAAGGCGCGCGAUACAGGGUGACAGCCCCGUACACAAAAAUGCACAUGCUGUGAGCUCGAUGAGUAGGGCGGGACACGUGGUAUCCUGUCUGAAUAUGGGGGGACCAUCCUCCAAGGCUAAAUACUCCUGACUGACCGAUAGUGAACCAGUACCGUGAGGGAAAGGCGAAAAGAACCCCGGCGAGGGGAGUGAAAAAGAACCUGAAACCGUGUACGUACAAGCAGUGGGAGCACAGAGCAAUCUGUGUGACUGCGUACCUUUUGUAUAAUG